UUAAGAAGAAACCUGUGCCCCGAUCUUGCCUACUCACCCAAAGGCACUGUGAGAAACACAGGAAAACCACAUUCCCAACACUUCUUUGAAGUCAGUUUGCAGGCCAUGCAACCAAGUUCUGGACAAUGGAAUAUAAAGAAAGUGAAGCAAGUCACUUCCAGUUGGGCCUUUAGAAAAUUCUGUGUGCUACCUCCGUUCCCUUUCCCCCUUCAAAGCUUCCUUGGAAGCACUGAGUUAGAUGGUAAAGUUACAAGAAGGAAGAAGUCACAGAAUCAUCGUUUAAUGGAGAAAACUGUGGAAAGCUGUGAAGUGAUCAACAAAUAAAACAUUAAUGAGCAAAGACACAGGGAUUUAGCAGUUUAUUGCCACAGGAUAGUUUAGAAUAUUCUGAUCAGGAAAUAACUUUAUACAGGAGUGAGGUGCUACACCAUGAAAAAUCUAACUUACAUUGCAAAACAUUAUUUUCAUGUCUCAUAUAGGAAGGCAGCAAUUAUAAAAGGGACUGCAAGUCAAGACAUGUAAGAGACUGACAAAUAUAAAGACAACCUACUGUAAAUUGGGAGGCAGAUGACAUACUUACAAAACAGAGAAUUAAGAAAAAUGAUAGUAUGUAUUUGUAGCCAUUGGUGAAUUUUUAAAUAUAUGAGAAGAAAUAUUAGAGAGACUCCAGAAAUUCAAGGCCUUCCAAGAGUAAGAGAGAAUAUGUCUGACAUAAGAUUUUAUACAAAAUAGGCCAGUAAAAGAAUCUUGGUCUAGUAAAGUGACCCCCAAUGAAAGAUCAAGUUAAUGAUGGCCCUUCUAUCUUUUUUUUUUUCCAGAUAGCAUCAAAGGAACAGCUAGUAAGAGACACAGAGCCAGAAAUCAGGGAAGUAAAAUACACUUGACAUCUACAUUCGGAAAGAAAUUUUAGGAGGCAGAAGCAAAUGGAUCAGAAGCUGCUUAUAUUUUUGCAAGAUUACCAAAGAAACCAUUGGUGGAGAAAGUUCUGUGACCAACUUGUCUGAGUCUAGCUCCGGAAAGCUGCCUAAAGUAGAUGGAGUCUUCUCUGUGUGUGCCCCACUGGUCCUGCAGUUGAAGGAUCCGGUAAAGCAGCCUGCCCUGGGUUUUACACUCCAGAGGAACGUGAUUCGCUGGACUAAAGCAUUGAAGUGCAUCCUGUUUCCGGGGGGCACUGGAACAGAGCCUGGUCUGUUCUAGCCAGUCCCUUUCUAUCUCAGGAUGUUGCAUUCCCAGUACAUUCUACAGUUAUUCUUGAGAACUAUAAUCAAAUAAGCAGGGAGAACUGGGAAAGCAGAGGCUCAUCGUGGAACCCUCAAGGAGCAUGUGGUCGUCUUCAUCCCUCAGUUUAUAAAUGGCCAAGGAGAGUAAUGCAACAAAAACUUCUCAGACUUAAGAGCCAGAGUUCCUAAAGAACCGUGGACAAAGGGUUCUGUCUAGUGGGCAGAAUUCAUCCAGCGAAGCAGGAAAUUUGGAACCUAGGUUUUCCCAACCUACAUCUACAAAAUGGAAUGGGUCUGAUUCACAAGUUUUCAGAGAAAGAAGCCAACCUUAAUCAGACUGUGAUAUGAUGAGGAAAUAAAAAUUGCUGUGCUAAUCAACUGAUACUGGGAAGCAUGUUUAUUAUAAUAACAUAGUCUAUGCUUAACUUUUCGAAGAAACUAAUGAUCUGGAAUAUCGAUAAAAAGAAAAAAGAAAGAAAGCAAAAGGACAGAAAGUUUUAGUGAGAAUAUGUCACUAAAAGAAAAAUACAAAAAUCUCCAGGUAAUUGUUCUUGUCUGUCACUAUAAUCAAAGUGGUAUUUCACCCCCCAUCUGUUGUCCCUGCUUUGAUGAGUGAGAAUAGAAGAGCAGUUCCUGGUUACAUGUUGGCAACAGGAGGGUAUAAAUAUCAAAUUGCCUUAAGCACUGGCAAAGGCUUAAGAGUCCAUCCUAAAUUGAGGGAUUAUCCAGUACCCUGUUUAGAAUGGAAAUAAAUCCUUGCACAGUACUUUCAACUCAAUAACUGAAAAAAUGCAGAGAGCAAAUUCAACAAUUUGUAUUACCAACAGCCAGCUGAGUCCAACUUUCUAAAUCCAUUGGAAAACAGAAAAGCAGAAAAGCAGAAAAACAGGCAUCAGUAACUGUCCUAAAAAGUGAAGGACUCAGGAGGCUGAGGCAGCAGAAUCACUUGAACCCAGGAGGCAGAGGUUGCAGUGAGCCGAGAUGGUGCCACUGCACUCCAGCCUCGGCGACAGAGCGAGACCGUCUCAAAAAUAAAAAAAAAAAAAAAAUGUGAAGGACUGAGGGAAAGAAACAGAAUAGACCAUAAUGAGUCAGAUGCGAGAUAAGAGAAACAGGGCCCGGAACAUAUGCCCUCAGAUAGAAUAAGAACAAUAUCAAAGAUGAAAAUCCAAGAAAACACCUUGAGGAAAAUAAGAUGAUAGUAAUACUAAAUAUAUAUGUUAAAGGACUAAUUUUAAUGAGAUACCUUCACAUAGGUAGGAAGAAAAAUAAAUUCAAUGUGCAGAUAUUCCUUAUGUAUAUACCAAUGAAAGUAAAGAGACAGAUAAAAUAAGUCAGGCAAAUGCUAACAUAAGAAAAUAGAGUCACAUUAUUUAUUUUGUAAUUUGAUAUCUGAAUAUUAAAAACUUACACCUUCAAAGUGCAGAUAUAACUCCCAUGAAUGUUGACACACUAAGUAACAGUAAAAUACAUUAAGCCAAUUAGAACUGUAAGAAAAAGGAAAGCAACACAGAAUAAAAACAAGACUCAGUAGGUGAUCUUUAUCUAGAAUCAGAACAAUUAAAAUAAAAUAAUGACUGGAGAAAAACUGAAGUAAGUACUAUGUUUAAUGCCUGUAAGCAAAUAUACGUAUUUUGAAUUGUGACAUGAUUAAAAAAGAACAUAUGAUUUUCAAGUGUUCAUAUAACACAUUGAAAAAUUAAGCAUAAACUCCCCGAAAUUCUUAUACCUAAAUGUCAUAAAAUAAGUACCAAUCAUACCAACUACUUUUCUGAACAUAAUGCAGUGAGAUCUAUAAAACAACUGAUAUUUUGUGGCUGUUGUUUACCGCAUCAAAAGAAGACUAAUAAAGCAAUGUAUUUACCCUGUGAAUGUAUAUGUUCAAAUAAUUUAUAUAGACUGUACACAUAAUAUUCUUUUAAUUUUCUUUAUAUUUCUUCUUAUAUAUCCAUUUUCUAAAAUAGUGAGUUAUGCUUUUAUUCACUAGAUUUUUUUCUGUUUAAAUUUGUUUAGGUAUUAUAUUUGAUAUUUUAUUAAUUUCUGUAUUGAUGUUUAUCAUUUACUUCUUCCAGUUUUCAAAUAUUUUAUGAUUAAAAUUAUAGAUCAUUGUUUUAAGACCAUCUUAUGUAAAUAGCAAAGGUUUGAUUUGUAAUGAUUUUAUAAAUAUACAUAUUUUAAUAUAAUCAAAUUGUUAAUAUGCUGGUCUACACAUUUGCCUUUAGUUUCCAUUUUUACCCAAGAUACGCUAGACAAAUAUUUUCAUGUUAUUCUAAAGAUUAGAAUUUUUAUUUUGCUGUCAAUAGCUCUUUAAUAUCUUUCAUAUGUUCUAUCUACCUAUAUCUCUGUGUGAUCUUUGUUAAACCCAUAUUCUGAGGUUUAGAUUUCCCAACCACCCAAUACUGGUGGAAAUUCUGAUAGUUUUUGAAACCAUGUCUCAAGACUUGUCCCAUGGAAAAUAAAGGAAAUCUCUAUUCUGUCAUUGGCUGGGAACUGCUCUAGGGUGUUUACAUCCCUGGCAAUUUUUAUUUUUCUCAUGUUGAGCCUGAAAGAAAGUCACCGAUCAUGAAAUGCGAGCAUGGACAGGGACAAUUAGUCCAAAGGGAAAAAUUAGAGACACUGACUGUUCCAUUAUACGUAACUAUAUACCUAGUCACUCAAUAUAAUGAAGAGUUUCAUAAUUAGUCAAAAUGAAAUUGAACCAUAUUAAUUCUACAUGGAACAAUUCAAAAUGAAUUUAGUCUGGGUAUAGAUGGUAAAGAGAAAAAGUGAAUUUAAUUAGAACACAAUUUCAAUCAAAUUAAGUCUUUGCAUGAGUUAUCAAGGACACAAUAAAUAACUGAACAAUUCCAAAGAGUUACUUUCAUAGUAAUUUCAAAUAAUGCUCUAAUUAUCUCGAA
rnacentral:lncRNA from 1 species